rnacentral:lncRNA from 1 species
GGAUCCUUAACCUGCUGCACAGCUAUUUGAGGAAAUAAUAGCAGAAAAAUUCCCUAACAUGGGAAAGGACUCACUCACUCAAAUCCAGGAAGCACAAUGAAUACCAUAUAGAAUAAACCCAAGGAGAAACACACCAAGACACAUUUUAAUCAAACUGACCACCAUUAAAGUCAAAGAGCAAAUACUGAAAGCAGCUAGGGAAAAGCAACAAAUAACACACAAGGGAACCCAGAUAAGGUUAUCAGCUCAUUUUUCAGCAGAAACUCUGUGGGCCAGAAGGGAGUGGCACGAUAUACUUAAAGUGAUGAAAGGAAAACACCUGCAACCAGGAUGACGCUACCCAGCAAGGCUUUCCUUCAGAGUUGAAGGAGAAAUCAAAACCUUUACAGACAAGCAAAAGCUAAGAGAAUUCAGUGCCACCAAACCAGCUUUACAACAAAUACUACAGGAACUUCUCUAGCUGGAAAGAAAAGGCCACAACUAGAAAGAAGAAAAUUACAAAUGAGGAGGCUCCCCAGUAAAGGCAAACAUCAGUGAAGGUAGGAGAUCCUCCACACACACAUGCCACCAAAGCAGCCACUGUGAGCAGAGGAGGGACAAAUGCAGGACCCUGGAAAUGCAUUUGCAAUGAAGAGACCAGCAACUUAAAGCAAUCUUGUGUGUAUAUGUUGACCCCUACAUCAAAACCUCAUGGUUACCACCAACCAAAAAUCUACAACAGAUGCAAUUCAAACACAGCACUAAAGAUAGUCAUCAAACCACAAGAGAAGAGCACAAAAGGGAAGAAAAAAGGCCGAGAGAUAAAGGGCCAGAGAAAAUCAACACAAACAAAUCCAAAACAAUUAACCAAAGGGCAAUAAGAACAUACAUAUCAAUAAUGACCUUAAAUAUGUGGGUUGUGUGUGUGUGUGUGUGUGUGUACAUAUAUAUAUACACACAAUGGAACAUUAGCCAUAAAAAGGAAUGAAAUAAUGCCAUUUGUGGCAACAUUGAUGGGACCUAGAGAUACUAAGUGAAGUAGUGAAAAACAAACAUCACAGGAUAUCACUUACACACGGAGUCUAAAAGAUACAGAUGAACUUAUUGUAGCACAGACACAGACUCACAGACUUUGUAAACAAACCUGUGGUGAUCGAAGGAGACGGGUGGGGUGGGAGGAGGGGUGAACUGGGGAUUCGAGAUUGGCACACGCAUGUUGUAUAUUGAAUGACGGGCCACUGGGGACCUGCUGUACAGCACAGGGAACUCUACCCAGUCAAUAUUCUGUGAUCAUCUAUAUGGGAAGAGAAUCUGAGAAAGAAUGGAUGUGUGUAUACGUGUAACUGAAUCACUCUGUUGUAGAGCAGAAAUUAUCACAACUUGUAAAUCAACUACACUUCAAUAAAAUUUUUUUAAACGGGAAAAAAAAAAACAAAACCAAAAACAAAAAAACAACCCAAAACCUGCUGAGCCACUAGGGAACUCAAGCUGUCUUUUUCUUUUUUUUUUCCUUUACAGGGCUGUACCUGCGGCAUAUGGCAGCUCCCAGGCUAGGGGUCCAAUCGGAGCAGAGCUGCCAGCCUGUGUAUACCACAACCAGAGCAAGGUGGUGUAGAUGUCAGCAACCUACACACCAGCGCACAGCAACACCAGACCCUUAACCCACCAGGCAAGGCCAGGGAUCGAACCUGCAUCCCAUGGAUACUACUCCAUGAGGUUUGUUACUGCUGAGCCACGACGAGAACUCCUGCCUUGUUUUUAAAGGAAGGUUUUACCCGGCGUGCUGGAGGCUAACUGCCUCCCCCAAAUCUCUCUUCCCUUCCUACUGAAGAACAGCACCAAUUUUUCAGCUGAGUAUGUUCUUCCUGAAAUAAAGGCCCAUGCCUCCCAGCUUCCUUGCAGCGAGGUGAGCACACCUGCCUGAAAUCUGGCCAGUGUGCGAGCAGACGUCCUAGGUGGGACUUGUGGGAAGACUUUUUGAAGGCAGCUCCCUCACGUGACAGGAGCCCCUCUUGUCCUUUCUCUGGCUCCUGGCUGAUGGCUUGAGCUCCCGCAGCUGACUUGGAUCAGGAGGAAACCUUGAGAAUUCGAGCCAAGUGUCAAGAUUGUCAGUUAGGACAACAGGAGCCAGGAUCCUUGAUGAUACGACCAGGCUGCCGUAUCAGUCCCGGACUGUUCCCCUCUGGAUUUCUCUCUCUUUGUUAUUGUUGUUGUCUUAGGGCUGCACUCCCGGCAUAUGGAGGUUCCCAGGCUGGUGGCUGGAUCGGAGCUGCAGUUGCUGGCCUAUGCCUCAGCCACAGCAAUGCCAGAUCCGAGCCUCGUCUGUGACCUACGCCACUGCUCACGGCAACGCCAGGUCCUUAACCCGCUGAGCAAGGCCAGGGAUCGAACCUGCAUCCUCAUGGGUACUAGUCAAGAUUCUUUUCCGCUGAACCACGACAGGAACUCUUGAAUUUCUCAUUUCUUAUGUGAGAAAGAAAUAAACGGCUAUCUUAUAUACAUCUUAUUAUUAUUUUUUGUUAUAUGCAGGCAAACCUACUCGUAAUACAUGGGGAGAGAUUUCCAAGGUGUUAGGACUGUUAGUCACCAGCUGUGAGGGCAACCAGCUGAUUUAUCCCCAAAGCCUACUGUGAAGGGGAUCCAUCCCUCUCAGGAAGUCCCGGCUCUCAUGCUUGUGGAAGGGAAGGAAGACGCCUCAAAAACGAGAGAAAAAGGAUGCUCUCCAGGAUCCCCAGGCGAACCAGCCCCUAGUCCUCUCACUUCAGCGAGCCGACCAGGCCUUGCUGCAGAAGAGGGGGCUGGAAGCGCGUCCGUGGCACCACUGAGAAACACGGGAGCUGACCCAAGACCCCUCCGUGCCCCCGCCUCCUACCCGUCUCGCCUGGGGACGAGUCGAGAGGGCAGCUGUAGCUAAAAGUCCUUCGUCAAGGGGGGUUUCAGAGGGGAAGUACGGCUGGGGUUCUCCAUCAGGGAAAAGCCAGACAGAGACAGGCACGCACGCCUCCACGUACUAGAGCGCAGGACAUCUAUGCAGUGUCACAAAGCCGGCUGGAGCCCAAAGGGCUUAGAAUGGAGGAUCCAGGUAAUUCAGCUCAAAGAUCACCUUCCUCUCUGCAGACGCACUUUGAAAACACACUGACGACUCGUUUACUGUCAUUUUUAAAGACUCCACUUGGAAAUCUUAGUCAAAUCCAUUAUUCUGGGGCCUGAAUCUGCGGCAUAUUGAAGUUCCCAGGCUAGGGGUGGAAUCAGAGCCCUAGUUGCCGGCCGACAUCACAGCCAGAUGUGAGCCAGAUCUGAGCCACGUCUGCGACCUACACUGCAGCUCACAGCAAUGCCAGAUCCUUAACCCACUGAGCGAGGCCAGGGGUCAAACCCUCGUCCUCCUGGAUACUGGAUGGGUUCGUCACCACUGAGCCACAAUGGGAACUCCAA